rnacentral:rRNA from 1 species
UCGUAACAAGGUUCCGUANGUGAACUGCGGAAGGAUCAU